rnacentral:rRNA from 1 species
GGGUUGAUAGGCCAGAUGUGGAAGCCCGGUAACGGGUGGAGCUGACUGGUACUAAUAGGCCGAGGGCUUGUCCU